GCCGGUCGCGCGCCGGGUCCAGUCGCCAUUUACUCCGUACCUUCGGAGCGGAAGAUGGCGACCGAAAUCGCGCGGCCUUGCGAGAAAUUAUAACCAUCGAUGCGCGUGCCGGCGUUGUAACGCAGCCCGAUUGCUUCGGCGCGCUGCGCGAACGCGCGCUCCUCGCGCCAUUCCACCAGCGCAAACCGGCAGCUUCCCUGC
rnacentral:misc_RNA from 1 species